rnacentral:rRNA from 1 species
UACGUAGGGUGCAAGCGUUGUCCGGAAUUAUUGGGCGUAAAGAGCUCGUAGGCGGUCUGUUGCGUCCGCUGUGAAAACUCGGGGCUUAACCCCGAGCCUGCAGUGGAUACGGGCAGACUAGAGGUAGGUAGGGGAGAAUGGAAUUCCCGGUGUAGCGGUGAAAUGCGCAGAUAUCAGGAGGAACACCAAUGGCGAAGGCAGAUCUCUGGGCCGUAACUGACGCUGAGGAGCGAAAGCAUGGGGAGCGAACAGG